AACGGACCACUGACGCCAAGAACCAUCCAUCUCCCGAUAGAAGGAUGGGGCGUUCUUCUCUUCAAGGGGAGAAGGAAAAGGGUAUUUGUCCCUCGUCUCAGAGGGGUAACCCUUAGGGGAACUCUCAAGAACAUGAAUAUUCUGACUACAGACUUCGGGAGGAAGUUGAGCAGAACUGCCUGUAGUCACAGAUAAAACCUCCGAAGUAGGAGUCUCCUCAGGAAUGGAAGUCAAAAUGACAGUAGGAGGAGGAGUCCUGACAACAGAGGGAGGGGUUCCUCCAAUAUCUACAUCCUCUGAGGAAGAAGAGUAGUAGGAGGAGGAACCCGAGCUUCCCGAGCUAGAGGUAGAAGACCCCGAGCUGGAACGUAUGGGGGAAGAGUGGGGAGCACCUACAAACAAAAAAAGAAACAAAUAAAGAGUAAGUUACGAAAUAAAUAAUAAAUAAGUAACUUACUAGGAGGUACGGGCUUGCGCGUACGACGGG
rnacentral:lncRNA from 1 species